UCCUCGUUAGUAUACUGGUGAGUAUCCCCGCCUGUCACGCGGGAGACCGGGGUUCGAUUUCCCGACGGGGAG
rfam:Ciona savignyi cont_65585, whole genome shotgun sequence.